rnacentral:lncRNA from 1 species
AUAUUAAACAAACAAAAUUAAUAUUUCAAUGAGAAAAAUUAGUAAUUCGAACACAUUAUAGCUGCCAAAUUUGUUCAUAAUAUAUUUUCAUGUGAAUGUCAUACUACUGAAUGUCGAAGUGAGAUACUUACUUAGUUUAACAUUUUCAUAUGUGGGAAUACUAAUUAUAUACAUUUACAUACUGUAUAGAAUUAGACAAAAACAGAUACAUCUUUCAUGCUUGGAUCUUCUGGAUCAUCUUUGAUAAAAAAUCACCUGUUAGCACAUAAUCACAUCACAUAACUUAUACAAGACAAAAUGGAAAAAAUGUGGCAACAUUAAGCUUCAACUAAGCCUCAUCUUUGAAGCCCUAUUUCACGAUUGACAUAAGACAUUUUAUAUAAUAACACCAAUAUGAACAGAAGUAUGUUAUUUUUUUAAACUCUCUCAUAAAUAGAUCAUUUAGCAAGAUAAUGUCAAUCAGAAUAGCACAAACACUACAUUUUGUCGUAUUGGAAUAGAAUAGAGAAUUAGUGAAAGAAAAUAAGAAAGUCAAAUGUUUGGCAUGUAAAGCAUCAAUUACAAAUGUAUGAAAUGAGAUCUUAGUUAAAGAUUAAUAUUAUGUUUAUAGUGAAAGAUUGCAAAAACAGUCAAGAAAGCAAAGUGACAAUAUGACCAAACAAAGUUGAACAAAGCUCAAUAGGUGUAAAAAUGACCACCCUCAUCCAAGAUUAAGAAAAUCUUGGUAAGCCAUAAGAUACAACUCAAAAUAUUUUAUAUGUAUAAGACUAAAGGAUCAUUAUUUAUAAAGAAAUGGAUUCAUAAUGGUGACAUUAAUGUUAAAGGAUUAAUCAAUCUGGACAAAAAAUUUAUGAAAUAUCUUUAAUAUUUACCUUUAAACUUGUCUUGGAAAAAUUCAGUUCAAGAGUUUCAAAUUAGAUCAUCAGCAGAUAGUAAAUGAACAUAUGAUGACGAUAUUAAAAAUCUCAAGUUUCGAUAAAUCAUGAAGAGGUGGAAACAGAAUAACACAACCCAAAUUUUAACCCUUAUAGAGAAAGAAAAAAAUAGCAUGAUGUACAAAUAAAAUGUGAUGAAAAAUGUGAAAGAAUCAACAGAUUACUAUAGUUUUGAAAAGUAACAUACCAAUAGUAGUGUUUGAUCAAAGCCUAUUCCAGAGUUUAGAUCAAUUUUAUAGGGUCAUGAUAAACCAAAUAUAAAAUGACAUAACUUGUGCAGGUAUAUAUAUAUAUAUAAAAGAGGAAAAGUCUUUGCUAAAAGCCAAAAAAAGUGAAAACAAUAACAUACACUACUGCUAACAGCCUAAAAAGGAGGAGCCUACACCACUCCAUUUGUUAUUUUGUAAAGAAAUAUAUAUUUUCUUUAAGACACGUAUCCUUUUUACUGCUGUAAUACAUCUCAUAUAAUUAUUAUAACCAUUUCUCCUAUUUUUUCUUUUUUUCUUUUAAAUUUAAAUAUUAAUCUACAAAGAAAAAGAAAUUAUAAACACUUCUUGUACAUAUACAUCUCUAUGUUUCAUAUUUAUUUAUUUAUUUAUUAUAAUAAUUAUAAUUAUAAAUUAUUAUUCAUAUUUUUUUGGUUAGAGAAUUUUGAUAUUCAGACAAAAUGAAUGAACAUAUCAGAAAUUAAAAUUGAUUAUUUUAAAUUUAAAUAUUAAUCUUGAGAAAAAAAAUUAUAAACACUUCUUGUACAUAAACAUCUCUAUGUUUCAUAUUUUUUAUUUAUUAUAAUAAUUCCUAUAAAGCAUUUGAUUAGUGGGGGCAUCGCAAAUAAGAAAGCUCACAAAGCCAAGUGUAAGAUCUGAAACAUUAAUUAGGAUAGAUAACUUUUUUAUGAUUAAAGUUAGUAAGCUGUCGAAAAAUUGAUACGACCUACCUAUCGUGAAAUAAACAAUUAAAACAUUAUAUAAUUACAAACCAUCUCUGUUCAUUUUUAAUUACAUUAAUUUAAUAUUUUAAGCAAAGAGAAAAUUAAUAUUCAAAAAUUAUAUAAUAGUACUAUAAAUUACAAUUUUUUUCAUAUCAAUGUGAUAAAGAAUGCACUGUAAUAUAUUAGUCAAAAGGGGAAAAAUCUUUGCUAAAAGGCAAAAAAAUGAAAAACAGUAGCCUACACUGCUAAAAGCCUAAAUAGCAGGAGCCUACUCCACUCCACUUGUUAUUGUGUAAAGCAAUAUAUAUUUUCUUUAAGACACGUAUUAUAACCACUUUCCCUAUCUUUUUUUUUUAUAUAAUUUAAAUAUUAAUCUAGAAAGAAAAAUAAAUUAUAAACACUUCUUGUACAUAUACAUCUCUAUGUUUCAUAUUUUUUUAUUUAUUAUAAUAAUUAUAAUUAUAAAUUAUUAUUCAUUAAGACACGUAUUAUAACCACUUCCCCUAUAUUUUUUUUAAAAAAUUUAAAUAUUAAUCUAGAAAGAAAAAUAAAUUAUAAACACUUCUGGUAUAAAUACAUCUCUAUGUUUCAUAUUUUUUUAUUUAUUAUAAUAAUUAUUAUUAUAAAUUAUUAAUUUUUUUUGUUAGAGAUUUUUGAUAUUCAGGUCAAAGGGGGAAAAGUCUUUGCUAAAAGGCAAAAAAAUGAAGAACAACAGUCUACACUGCUAAAAGCUAGGAGCCUACUCCACUCCACCUCUUGUACAUAUACAUCUCUAUGUUUCAUAUUUUUUUUAUUUAUUAUAAUAAUUAUAAUUCAUAUUUUUUUUUGUUAGAGAUUUUUGAGAUUUCAGACAAAAUGAAUAAACAUAUCACAAAUUAAAAUUUUUUAUUUUAAAUUUAAUUAUUAACCUAGAAAGAAAAAAAAUUAUAAACACUUCUCGUACAAAUACAUCUCUAUGUUUCAUAUUUUUUUAUUUAUUAUAAUAAUUAUAAUUAUAUAUUAUUAAUUUUUUUGGUUAGAGAUUUUGAAGUUCAAUUAAUUUUGACGUGAUACAUAGAUCGAGAACUUCCCUAUUCAUCCAACGAAGUAGUUUGUGAAAAUUUGUAAAGAAAAGGGAAAUAAUUUCCAAAGAGAAAAAGCUGAAAAAAUGAAAUUCGCUUUAUAGAAAUGAAGAGAAAAAUGUUUUGUGGACUUACUCUAAUAACAUUUGAAUGAAACCAAGUUAGAGAUUGAAGAACACAUGCACUUGAAAUAGUCGCAGGGCUGUUAGAAAUCAAUAUUAUAGUUCAUAAAAGUAGAAUUUGGAACUUACAUUCCUCCAGUGCAUUUGUCAAUUCGUCACCAACAUCAUAUAUUUUUGAGAAAAACUCUCCCUACAAAAGUUUACUGAUCAUAAAAUUUAUGCAUGUUUUAAUCUCAAUUUUCUGUCAAUUCUCUACUUGCUUUCAAAGUUUAUGAUAUAAAAUUUCUAAAUUGUAUUUAUAUUAUUAUUUAUUAUUUCGUCUAAUCCUUUCUUUGACCAUGUUUUACCAAAUAAAGAAAACAUACCUGAAAUUUUGAAUUGCAAAUCGAUUAAUGGUUGUUGAAAGAAGAGAGCUGGAAGAAAUUAUGCUUUAGAAUCAUGUUUGAGUAAGUCUUGUGCUAAGGAUGAAUUUAAUUUUUUUGUUUGAAGAAAGACUGAUGUUCUACAAAAAAAUGGAUCUGCAAAAAUUUGCUAUUGA